rnacentral:rRNA from 1 species
AGGGUUUGAUUAUGGCUCAGAUUGAACGCUGGCGGAAUGCUUUACACAUGCAAGUCGAGCGGCAGCACGGGGGUAACCCUGGUGGCGAGCGGCGAACGGGUGAGUAAUACAUCGGAACAUGCCCAGUCGUGGGGGAUAACACUUCGAAAGAAGUGCUAAUACCGCAUACGUCCUGAGGGAGAAAGCGGGGGAUCGCAAGACCUCGCGCGAUUGGAGUGGCCGAUGUCAGAUUAGCUAGUUGGUGGGGUAAAGGCCUACCAAGGCAACGAUCUGUAGCUGGUCUGAGAGGAUGAUCAGCCACACUGGGACUGAGACACGGCCCAGACUCCUACGGGAGGCAGCAGUGGGGAAUUUUGGACAAUGGGGGCAACCCUGAUCCAGCCAUUCCGCGUGAGUGAAGAAGGCCUUCGGGUUGUAAAGCUCUUUCGGCAGGAACGAAACGGUGAGCUCUAACAUAGCUUGCUAAUGACGGUACCUGAAGAAGAAGCACCGGCUAACUACGUGCCAGCCGCCGCGGUAAUAC